AACGAACGCUGGCGGCAUGCCUAACACAUGCAAGUCGAACGAGACCUUCGGGUCUAGUGGCGCACGGGUGCGUAACGCGUGGGAACCUGCCCUUAGGUUCGGAAUAACUCCCCGAAAGGGGUGCUAAUACCGGAUAAUGUCUUCGGACCAAAGAUUUAUCGCCUUUGGAUGGGCCCGCGUUGGAUUAGCUAGUUGGUAGGGUAAAAGCCUACCAAGGCGACGAUCCAUAGCUGGUCUGAGAGGAUGAUCAGCCACACUGGGACUAGGACACGGCCCAGACUCCUACGCGAUGGGGCAGUGGGUAAUAGAGGACAAUGGGCGGAAGGCUGAACCAGCAAUGCCGGGUGAAUGAUGAAAGCCUUAGGGUUGUAAAGCUCUUUUAACCGGGAUGAUAAUGACGGUACCGGGAGAAUAAGCUCCGGCUAACUCCGUG
rnacentral:rRNA from 1 species